UACGCCUGUUAUUGCUCGCCUUUGGGCUGCCCAGCUUGUAUUUCUCUGAUGUUUCUGCUGCUUUCGCUUUCAGGGGCUCUAAACUGCCUUCGAAAGGGUACAAGACUGUAGUUAUACAGAGUAAGGACUGGGCGCAGCAAAGAGCGGGGUCUCCCCAAACGGUAUCUGCGGUGUGUACGGAGAGUGAGGUUAUCAUGACUAUCAAUCCUGAUCUGUUUGGUACUCGGCAUCCUGUCCAGGCGUCUGAUUUAACACUAGGAGGAUGUGGAGUAACUAGCCAUAUGUCCACACCUCCUGCUUUCGUAAUUGAGGGUCUACUACAGGGAUGUGGUGGUAUCCUUACGAUGUCUGUUGAUGAAAUGGUAUACAGCUUCACCCUUGACUACAGCCCCUAUCAAAUUACUGGUAUCCCCAUUGUAUGAAAUAACCCAGCUGUGGUGCAGAUUGAAUGCCAUUAUCCCAGGCAUCAGAAUGUUAGCAGUAAUGCAUUUAAUCCUACUUGGGUCCCCUAUACAUCCACCAAAUCUGCUGAAGACAUUCUGGGAUUCUGAUUAUAA